CCUCGGGACUUUGCUCGUGACACAAGAACGAGAGUGGGAGUAAUGAGAUGGCAGAUUGGGGUUUUGGAACUCGGUCUAGUAACUUUUAUUCUCCUCGCCUGGCAGACGUGACUCUGGUUCUGACAUCAGAAAAAUCGAACGAUGGCCAUGUUCGGGAGAGCGCAAUUUCAUAUCGCUCUUACCUGUGUUAAAAAAAUAAAAAGUCCACAAAAUAAUCGUCAAAUAAAAAUUGUUUCUUAUUACACAAUAUGACAAGAUAACUAAUUCUGCACAUAAUAUACAGUACAUAUUGAGAAAACUGUUAACUAAGAUCACCCAGCGAUAUUAGAUGCAUCUAUUCUUUUGCUUAUACAGAUGUUUCUGUACUGUAAUUUGUCAUUACCGUUGUUACAUGUUAUUCUACAAGCGAACACUAGCUAAUGACAAUUAUUUGUUAUCAAAGGCAUUCAUGAGGAAGAGAAAAUGUAAGAAGCAAAAGAGAAAAGAAAUCACACAAAGUUCCACAAAAAAAUAUAAUUAGUGAAGAAAAUGUAUAAAAAUAUAUUAUGUAAAAUAUGUAUUAUAUUAUGAAAAGUACCAUGUGAUCAUUUAUACAUCGAUGUCAUUUUUAGUAAGUAGCAAUAAGUUUCCUUUUCUAUGUAUGCAUUAUGCAAUGUUAAUUUGUUAUUAUCACAAAUCUUAAUUAUGAAGGUAUGCAAUGAGUAUUCUUAAUAACUUCAAUACUUACAAAGUUUUGUGACUGUAUAUGUAUGUAAAUAUAACUUUUCUAAUAUGAUU